GACGAACGCUGGCGGCGUGCUUAACACAUGCAAGUCGAACGGAAAGGCCCUGCUUUUGUGGGGUGCUCGAGUGGCGAACGGGUGAGUAACACGUGAGUAACCUGCCCUUGACUUUGGGAUAACUUCAGGAAACUGGGGCUAAUACCGGAUAGGAGCUCCUGCUGCAUGGUGGGGGUUGGAAAGUUUCGGCGGUUGGGGAUGGACUCGCAGCUUAUCAGCUUGUUGGUGGGGUAGUGGCUUACCAAGGCUUUGACGGGUAGCCGGCCUGGGAGGGUGACCGGGCACAAGGGGACUGCGGGAGGGCGCAGUAGGCUACGGUAGGCAAUAGUGGAAAGCAUGACGCAGUGGGGGGAAGCGAGAGACAGCGGCGCCGCGUGCGGAAUGACGGCUUUCGGGGUGUAAACCGCUGUCUACGUAAACGAGGCGUGAGUGACGGUAAUGAGUAAGAAAGCAACGGCUAACUACGUG
rnacentral:rRNA from 1 species